rnacentral:lncRNA from 1 species
UUCCACCGGACGGUAGGAAUUUCCGAUACCGGAGUCUAGCCGGGUAUUACAUUCUCCCCCCCUUAAGAACAUUCGUCCCCGAAUGUUCCUCAGCUAGGACAUGCAUAACAUGAGACAUAACAUACAAUCAUAACAACACAUAAGUUCGAAUUUAAAAAGAAACACGGUGUCACUGGAGUACGAACUCUCGGUCUCCCUGAUGCACUUUUCAUCUUAAGGUGAUUCUAAGGGACUUUCACCAUCGGGAUUUCCUUGUUUCCACACUUUCUAACGUGCGUGUCUGCGGUCUGUACUAGCUGCUCAACAUAGGGGAGAUCCUCUGCGAUCUCCACCUCUGGUUCCUUCAAGAACCUCACUC